rnacentral:tRNA from 1 species
GAAUGUGUGGCUCAGUGGCAGAGUGCCCACCUAGCACCUGUGAGGCACUGGGUUCAAUCCUCAGCACCA